CAUUUCCAAAAAUAUCACGUCCAGAACAAUGAUGGUGCUGAUGCAAGUGAUAACGGCAGUCCUGGUCUGUAGCCUGAAUUCAUUUGAAAUGUGGGACAAUUCCAGAACUUCAGGAACACACCCCUGAGCAUAUAUAAGCAGCCAAAUGCAUUUCACCAACUUCUGUGU